rnacentral:misc_RNA from 1 species
AAACCGAACCCCUGCCGCGCGUAGCAGUUCAAUGUCGCACGAACAGCGGAUUGAAGAGGCGAACAACGCCGUGCUGGCGAUCCGCAAAAGUGUCGACAAGGAGUUUUACCCGCACUAUCACAUUGCCCCUUAUGCCCGCUCCAUGAGUGCGCCAUGUGGCAUGAUCUACUUUAAGGGUCUCUAUCACGUCUUUUAUCAGCAUCAACCAUUUGCCGAAGAGUCGGGCCCGAUGCACUGGGGUCAUUCCACGAGCGAGAAUAUGAUUCACUGGCGGCACCACCCCAUCGCGCUCGCACCCGGAGAGGACUGGGACCGCGAUGGCUGCUUCUGUGGCAGCUCGGUCGCGUACGAUGAUCGACUCUAUGUAUUUUACACUGGCCACCAUUGGCUCACUGAUAUUGCUGAUGAUAGCCAAAUAUAUCAGGUUCAAUGCCUGGCUAUCAGCGAAAACGGGUUUAACUUUGAGAAGCGAGGCAUCGUAGUAAAGCCGCCAGCCGGCUUCUCCCAUUUCCGGGACCCGUACGUGUGGUUUCAGGAUGGGCGGUGGUGGAUGGUGUGCGGCGGUCGCGACUCCAAGGACCAGGGCCAACUUCUCCUGUACAGCACCGAUGACCUGGAGGAUUGGGAUGACAGCACAUUCAUGAUUCUAUCCAAGUCGGAGGACCGUAAUGUGUACAUGUGGGAGCACCCUUGCUUUUUCCCUCUGCAGCGUCACCAGAUGCUCAUGUUCUCGCCGCAAGGUAUGCAACCUGAAGAUUACAUGUUCCGCAACCGGUACCAAACAGGGCUUCUGAUGGGUCUGUGGAGACCGAACGCGACCUUUAGCGUCACCUCCGCGUUCAAGAAGCUGGACCUCGGCCACGACUUUUACGGCGCUCAGACCUUCCUAACGCGCGACGGCCGGCGUGUGUUCAUUGGCUGGCUGGACAUGUGGGACACGAACAUGCCCACAAAGCAGCACCAUUGGACCGGCAUGCUCUCUCUGCCUCGCGUCCUCCUUGUCGACGAAGCUACUGGCAGAAUUCGUACACCCCCCAUCAAGGAGCUGGAGAGUAUACGUGGCAACCACCAAUACCUACCGCGGCAGACUGUGCGCGACAAUUCGCAGGUUCGGUUACUAUUCGACUGCACGUCUUACGAGGUACGCGUGCUGUUUGACAUGGAAAAAAGCACGGCGGAAAAGUACGGCCUGUGGCUCGGUAGAGGCCUAGAGAUCUACGUCGAUGAGCAAAGCAAGCGUCUCGUGGUAAACCGCCACUACCCCAACUACGGCAUUAGCGGAUACCGCAGCUACGCGCUGCCGGCGCAGGCUCUUCUGCUAGUGCACGCGUACUUUGACAUGUCUAGCGUAGAAGUCUUUGUGAACGAAGGCGAGGCCGUGCUGAGUACCCGCAUUUAUCCGGCGCGCAAGGAUCGGGCGCUUUCUCUCUUUGCAGCCAAUGGUACCGCCCACAUCACGCGAGGUGAUAUUUGGGCGCUGAACCAGUCAGUUAUGCAGUAGUUGUUCUUCGAGUAAUUUCAACCUGACAGCGACGUAGAAACGGUAGGAAAUAUAUAAAACAAUGGAAAGUGAGGAUUCUGAAGCGAGACGAGGCCAAAUGUUUUUUUUUUUUGGUUCUAGUAUAUGUACAUCUAUCAGGUGCUGUCAACGAAUGAUGGGAACUACCACAUAAGUAGGGCAAAACCGUUUCUUGGACUAGGCUGGCAGCGUCGAAUUUCCUUGCUUUCGCUUUUUUCUUUCGUUUCACGCCGCCUCAUCUGUGAUGCUUAUAGACGCACCCAUAUCACAUUAUUAUUAUUUUCUGCGUUACGUUUUCACUUUUGUUGCUAUCAUCUGACAUGACACAUGUGAAGCAUAUAGGCGACAAAAGAAGCGAAAAAUAAGCUUGCGCGCGCGCUGCUUUGUCUUUUGCAUUUUUUUGUUUUCCAAUUCUUCCUAUGGCUUUGCGACGGGCCGCCGUUCUCUGACGCGUGCUUUCCCCCUCUGUUUUGCUUGCGUGUCUCCCUCGUUUUCCCUCUACCAAAGGCUCUUUGUAAGAUUUGCUGAUCAGCUUCGAAAGCAAAAAU